GUGAGGAAUAUUGCGCAAUGGGCGAAAGCCUGACGCAGCGACGCCGCGCGGAGGAUGAAGGUCUUCGGAUUGUAAACUUCUGUUAAGUGGGAAGAAAGGGCUGCUUUUAAUAGAAGCAGUUAAUGACGGUACCAUUAAAGAAAGCACCGGCUAAACUCGUGCCAGCAGCCGCGGUAAUACGAGUGGUGCAAGCGUUAUUCGGAAUAAUUGGGCGUACAGGGUGUGUAGGCGGUAUGUUAAGUCUGUUGUUAAAGACUCCGGCCUAACCGGAGACAGGCAGCGGAAACUGGCGUACUAGAGGGUGGAAGAGAGAAGUGGAAUUCUCGGUGUAGCGGUAAAAUGCGUAGAUAUCGAGAGGAACACCGAUGGCGAAGGCAGCUUCUUGGUCCAUACCUGACGCUGAAACACGAAAGCGUGGGGAGCAAACAGGAUUAGAAACCCGUGUAGUCC
rnacentral:rRNA from 1 species